rnacentral:rRNA from 1 species
AUGAGUUUUCUACAUUGGGCUGCAUUGUUAAGAAAGAGUUUGAUGAUGCCACAAGAGCAAGAAUUAAAAGUCGUUUGUAGAACCAUGUUUCCUCAUGGCAGGAGGCGAGCAAUACUUUACUAUUACAAUGUUCAUUUUCAAUACAAUCAGAAGUAUGACACUGAUUGUCAAUUGUGCGUUCAUGCAGGUUGCGCGUUCAUGCAAUACUUUACCCAUGAAAUAGAAGAGUUGUGCAGACGUGUGAUUCAAGUUCUUCGACGGAAUGGGCCCAACUCAUUCAGUGAAGAACUUUCAAGGUUCUCUGUCGGAACUGGUUUGAGCUUCUAUAAGUUCAGUUUGAAGAACAGUAUCACAGAAUAA